AACGUAGGAGACAAACGUUAUCCGGAGUUACUGGGCGUAAAGGGCGUGUAGGUGGUUUCGUAAGUCUGGCGUGAAAUUUUUCGGCUUAACCGGGAAAGGUCGUCGGAUACUGCGGAACUAGAGGACGGUAGAGGCGUGUGGAAUUCCGGGUGUAGUGGUGAAAUGCGUAGAGAUCCGGAGGAACACCAGUGGCGAAGGCGGUUCUCUGGGCCUUACCUGACGCUGAGGAGCGAAAGCGUGGGGAGCGAACAGG
rnacentral:rRNA from 1 species